AGCACCCUAGAUGACCCUCUAGGCUCCACGCGGCUCUAAGAGUUUCUGAGGCUCUGCAAUAUUUCUGGAGGACAAGUGGUAUAAGCAUUUUAUCAGCAUUGGAAUAAAAAAGCUAUGGGUGGUGUUCUGGAUACUUCAUGCAUCAUGUCUUCCAUUGUCUUUAGACUGAACGGAAGCCCAGUGUUUGGUGAGAAGACGAAGGUUGGCUAGAUCCGAGCUUCUGCAAGGGAAUGACCUGGAGUGAGACUCAACCUGACGGUGGGAACUGGGCUUCGAUUCCAUGUGACAUGACUCAUUAAAUGGUUUAUUGUGAUCUGUAUGUGUGCUUUUAUGACCAGAGAGAUAGAGAAACUCUCUGCUUUGUGGGCUCAAAAAUAAAAAUUGAAGAGAUAAAGUCUUUGCAUGUCUGUGACACUGUAUAUCUCAAUGUGAAGUGUCCUU